AGUCGUGGGGCAGCAUGUCCCGCAGCAAUGCGGGAUGAUGGCGACCGGCAAACGGGUGCGGAACACGUACACAACCUUCCUUCGAGUGGGGAAUAGCCCGGGGAAACCCGGAUUAAUACCCCGUAACAUAAUGGAGUGGCAUCACUUUAUUAUUAUAGCUCCGGCGCUUGAAGAUGGGUGUGCGACUGAUUAGGCAGUUGGCGGGGUAACGGCCCACCAAACCUACGAUCAGUAACUGGUGUGAGAGCACGACCAGUCACACGGGCACUGAGACACGGGCCCGACUCCUACGGGAGGCAGCAGUAAGGAAUAUUGGUCAAUGGACGCAAGUCUGAACCAGCCAUGCCGCGUGGAGGAUGAAGGCCCUCUGGGUUGUAAACUUCUUUUAUCUGGGACGAAAAAGGGACUUUCUAGUUCAACUGACGGUACCAGAGGAAUAAGCACCGGCUAACUCCGUGCCAGCAGCCGCGGUAAUACGGAGGGUGCAAGCGUUAUCCGGAUUCACUGGGUUUAAAGGGUGCGUAGGUGGGUUGGUAAGUCAGUGGUGAAAUCUCCAGGCUUAACUUGGAAACUGCCAUUGAUACUAUUAAUCUUGAAUACCGUGGAGGUCAGCGGAAUAUGUCAUGUAGCGGUGAAAUGCUUAGAUAUGACAUAGAACACCAAUUGCGAAGGCAGCUGGCUACACGAAUAUUGACACUGAUGCACGAAAGCGUGGGGAUCAAACAGGAUUAGAUACCCUGGUAGUCCACGCCCUAAACGAUGGAUACUCGACAUACGCGAUAUACUGUGUGUGUCUGAGCGAAAGCAUUAAGUAUCCCACCUG
rnacentral:rRNA from 1 species